rnacentral:lncRNA from 1 species
UAUACAAGCUCUAAACAGAUUCAAUUAUUAUCCCCACAUCCAGAAGCAGGUUCAAGAUGAACACAUAUUGUACAACAAUGAAAUAUAUUCACAAACGUUCAUAUACAUUGAACACAAGUUGACAAACACAUCAAUCUUGACAAAGCAUAGUUUUUACCAUCUUAAUAAUCACCCAGAACACACAAGUCACAAAAAGAUAGCAUUAUUUGCUGGUAUGAGAAACUUCAACUAGAUGAUCCAGUACACACAAGUCUGUAUCCACAUGCACAAAAUGCAAGCUCCAAAAUAACCAAAUCACCAAAUGGUCUACAACACAUAAGAUCCAUGAUUACAAGUUGGUUGGUCCAUAAACGCUGCAAAGUCAUCACGUCCAUGUGCACCAGUUGGCUAAGUACCUGGAAUUUUUGACAAAAAUUUGUCAAGAAAGUGUAAUCAGCUCAAGUUGUUCAAAACUCAUUUAUGGAUUAACACAGUCAAUCAAUAAAUCCUCAUGAUAUCAACGGCUCACAUGGUACUAUACAGAACUAUGUUCAUGUGCUUGCAGUUUUAUCAACAAUGAAGGUAUUGACCAUCUGAAACAGAGAUCAUACAACCCAGUAGCUUAUUUUAUAGUCUAUUACAUAAGCAUUCACUGAAGAAAAGACAAACUCCUUCGCAACCUCUCUAGAUUUUCAUGAUUAAGAGCUACAUAACCUCCCACGGGAAAGAGGAAGCGUCCAGUACGGAAAAACAAAAGAAGAGUCCGGCACCUAACCCCCCACGCACAAGAUAAGCGCCCUAGCAUGUGAAAGAAAAAAACAGCCUGGACUCCUAUUUGAUGUGCCCUGUGGAUUUAAAAAAAAUACUAGCUCUACCAAAUAGAUAGUCCGAACAUUAGCGUUCUAUCAUAAUACAGUCUGUAUUGCUUAGUGCGUCAUGUUUAACUCAGACAUGGGUUUCACAAAAAGAAUAGCUCUACCAAGUAGAUUUGCACUUAUACAAAUCAAACUUAUAGUGACGACAAUGAUAUUAGGAGAUACUUAUUUUAUCUAAUGAAGUAUCUCUCUUCGCAUUCUUUUUAAAAAUAAAGCAUGCCUACAAUACAUUUGUUUUCAACAUAGUGCAGACACACACGCUCAUACAUACGCACAUACACGUAUCCAUAUAAACGCACGCACGCGCACCCUACCCCUAACCACCCAAUCACAUGUUGGUUCGCACCUACAAUAGAAUUUUAACUAUAAUAAAUCAUGCAUGGACGACUAAGUACCAAAAUAUGUGCGCUUAGUGUCAACAUCUAUCAUCAUGUUAUGUACAACAAUACCAUGUAGGCUUAUGUUGCAUUGCCAUGCUAGGUAACCAAAGAGGUGCAGCCGUGCCAACAAAGAUCUGGAUACCAGCAAAAGCAUCUAGACUUAUGACACCAGAAUAUUUUUCCUAAAAAACAGCAGGAUCAUAUUUCAUAGAAAUACAAACGCAUACCAAGGGAUCACUUUGAACUCUAGGAAAAAAUUCAACAGACCCAUGCAUGGACAUGUAUAUAAAUUGUCUAACAGUCAAAUACCUAUAAAAGGGAGACGCUCAUGGACAACCGCAUACUACUAAUCAGCAAGGCAUCUCUCGCUGCAAUCAUUGGCCUAUUUUCAUUCACGUUGCAACCAAUUAGCUUGGCCAAAUGGAUGCGUAAACUGGAUUGGUUGGCUUUGGGAAGACCCCUAUUGGUUCAGGCCCCUAUUGCUUCUGUUCUAAUACAUAGUUGCUUUGGCAAGACAUCAGUAUGAAUAAAGCCGAUAAAUAUAGUAUGCAUGCAGAUAGAUCCUACAUACAGAGAAACAAAUCAUGUCAUCUUGUAACUUCUAAACACACUAAAAGGCUAAAGGAAUACCUUAGAGAUAAUUGACCAUGAUACCUACACUUUGUUCAAUGCCCUUCUCGGAUUUGUCAUCCAUCCAGUUUAUUCUCUCAACCAUCUACCAUAAAAUAAAAGUGGUGUUCAGCUAUUACGUAAUGCCCAGUGAAUUGAUUCAAAUACCGGUCAUGAGUUGCACAAACAUUAGCAGAGCAUUUCCUAAUACAACCAGUGAGCCACAGUUACAACGGCUAGUGUUGGUAGUAGUGAAUUUAAAUUACACAUGACGCAAUCACAGGACAAACUGAGCCAUUCAGUUGCAAACUACGCUCUACACUUUGAAAUAAGCCAUUUGGGGUGCAGAUACGUACUUAAAUGGCAAAGAGCUUGGUGUUCAAGUUGUGGGAGUUGUGCCGAAUGUGGAUUGGUCGCAGACACAUCUCAAGGUUGUUCUGUAUAUCCCACCCACACUAUCAGAUCAGCUGAAACAAAGCAGCCCAAUUUCAGAUUAGAGAGUUAAAAGUAGGCACAUAAACCAUAGCAGUAGUAUAAGGGGCUCAUGGAGAGUAAGAAGAAGAACCAGUGCCUAUUCAGUUCCAAGUGGACUCGCCACGCGUUGACUGAAAAAUAGCUCAUCUGCCAAGAUAGUAAGGUGAUACAUAUUAAAAUUGUUUGUGAUAAACUGAACCUUCAUUUCUUGGGCCUAGUUUAAAAUGAUGGACUAGUUGAACUGGUUAACAAAAAGGAAAUCCUGGACAAGCAUCAGGAUGGCAAAAUGAUGGAUCCAUCCAUUCCAUUUGCUGACUUACCACGUCAUAUCCUCAAAUGGCUUGUAUAACAUAAAUGAGGGCCCAACGGUGCCAGCGGCAUGCCUCUAGCACAAGCUGAAAAUAAAACAAUGAAGCUUAUCAUCAUAUAAUUAUAUGCCAGUGAUAAACUUGCAUGGAGCCACAUACUGAAUCUAAAGGAUUAGGGAGUUGUGUUUUUGUUCUUCUAUUCAGAUUGGCCAAACAAAGGUGAAGACAUGACAUAAAGCAUAACCAUGUUGUAGAUCAGCAAUCAAGCUUACAUGGCAACAAUAAGAUCCAGUGAUAAUAAGUUCCCAAGGUUUACAUAGGAUUUAGGGUGUAAUAUUCAGAUGUUUCAAACAAGUGUUAAAACAGGACACCAGACCAACAAUUUCCUACAUGUCCAUUCAUUUUCACAAUGACAUAUAUAUGCCAUUGUCUCGAUGACAUUUUAUAUGCCAGUGUCUUUCUUGUGUCUCCAAAUUAAAAUCAAGGUUCACUUUUAUAAUAUUUUGUUGAACUUCACGCACCAACAGAAGUAUUACUGGAUGCCUAACAAAAUAGUCGCACAACACAAUUAACCAAAUAAAGUAGCUGAAAAUUUUCACAGAGAACUAAAUGCAUUAAUAGUCUGCAAUGACAACAAUAGUGCAUCAACAUUAGAGUUAAACCAGAUCCAUAAUAGAGUAACUGAAAAUUUUCAGAUCCACAACAUUUUUAGAGAAAUAAAGCAUCACAUAACAGACAAGAGCUUGUCAGACCAAACUAAUAGAUAUAACCAACUAGGCAGGCACAUGAGAUGGCAGAAGAUAAUUUUUCCUGCGAUGCAACAUACCACAUAUGGAAUCUUUCCCUGAGAGGAAGAAGAGGAGGGCGCUGUCUUGGUCCUUCCAGAGAGGAAGAAUAGGAAGGAUCUUUCCCCGAGAGGAGGAAGUGGAGGGCGCUGUCUUGGUCCUUCGAGAGGGCUAGCGGUGGUCGGUGAAGGCCCCGGUGGACGGGGCUGUCGGUGGCCGCGUCACUAGGGAAGGCAUGCAUCGAUGUGGUUAGGGGAUCUGGGUUAUGCUCACCGCCGGCGGUGGGGACUCGGGCAGCGAAGGGACAAAGGAAGGUAGGCGAUGGAGG